CUCUUCGGAGUGAGCGGCGGACGGGUUAGUAACGCGUGGGAANNUGCCCUUNUCUAAGGAAUAGCCACUGGAAACGGUGAGUAAUACCUUAUACGCCCUUNGGGGGAAAGAUUUAUCGGAUANGGAUNAGCCCGCGUNAGAUUAGAUAGUUGGUGGGGUAANGGCCUACCAAGUCUACGAUCUUUAGCUGGUUUUAGAGGAUGAUCAGCAACACUGGGACUGAGACACGGCCCAGACUCCUACGGGAGGCAGCAGUGGGGAAUCUUGGACAAUGGGCGCAAGCCUGAUCCAGCCAUGCCGCGUGAGUGAUGAAGGCCUUAGGGUCGUAAAGCUCUUUCGCCUGAGAUGAUAAUGACNGUAUCUGGUAAAGAAACCCCGGCUAACUCCGUGCCAGCAGCCGCGGUAAUACGGAGGGGGUUAGCGUUGUUCGGAAUUACUGGGCGUAAAGCGCACGUAGGCGGANNGGAAAGUAUGGGGUGAAAUCCCAGGGCUCAACCCUGGAACUGCCUCUUAAACUCNUGGUCUUGAGUUCGAGAGAGGUGAGUGGAAUUCCGAGUGUAGAGGUGAAAUUCGUAGAUAUUCGGAGGAACACCAGUGGCGAAGGCGGCUCACUGGCUCGAUACUGACGCUGAGGUGCGAAAGUGUGGGGAGCAAACAGGAUUAGAUACCCUGGUAGUCCACACCGUAAACGAUGAAUGCCAGUCGUCGGGUAGCAUGCUAUUCGGUGACACACCUAACGGAUUAAGCAUUCCGCCUGGGGAGUACGGUCGCAAGAUUAAAA
rnacentral:rRNA from 1 species